rnacentral:lncRNA from 1 species
GUGGAGCCCGAGAAGGGGUGCCUCCUUAUCGCCACGGAGAAGCUGGACGGGUCGCACAUCUUCGAGCGCACGGUGAUCCUGCUCCUCUCCGCCGGCGUGCUGGGCCCUGUAGGCGUGAUCCUGAACCGCCCGUCGCUCAUGUCCAUCAAGGAGGCGGAGUCCAUCUUCGCAGACGACGCUGACAUCGCGGGCGCCUUCUCGGGCCGGCCGCUCUUCUUCGGUGGGCCGCUGGAGGAGUGCUUCUUCAUCCUGGGACCGCGGGCCGCCGCCGGCAGCGACGUAGUGGCGCGGACGGGGCUGUUCGAGGAGGUGAUGCCGGGCCUGCACUACGGCACGCGGGAGAGCGUCCGGUGCGCCGCGGAGCUGGCCAAGCGCGGCGUGGUGGGCGUCCGGGACUUCCGCUUCUUCGACGGCUUCUGCGGGUGGGAACGGGAGCAGCUGCGCGACGAGGUGCGCGCGGGGCUCU